CGUUAGCGGCGCGCCUAACACAUGCAAGUCGCACGAGAAAGGGAGCAAUCCCCGGUACAGUGGCGCACGGGUGAGUAACACGUAGAUGACCUUCCCUGGAGUGGUGGAUAACCUGCCGAAAGGCGGGCUAAUACAGCAUGGGACCACAUGGUUUUGACCGAGUGGUGAAAGCGGGCCUCUGUUCACAAGCUCGCGCUCUGGGAUGGGUCUGCGUCCCAUCAGCUAGUUGGUAAGGUAAUGGCUUACCAAGGCGAAGACGGGUAGCUGGUUUGAGAGAAUGAUCAGCCACACUGGCACUGGAACACGGGCCAGACUCCUACGGGAGGCAGCAGUGAGGAAUAUUGGGCAAUGGGCGAAAGCCUGACCCAGCCACGCCGCGUGAGUGAUGAAGGCCCUCGGGUCGUAAAGCUCUGUGGAGAGGGACGAAAACCCUGGUUUCAAAUAGGCUCCAGGCUUGACGGUACCUCUUUAGCAAGCACCGGCUAACUCUGUG
rnacentral:rRNA from 1 species